rnacentral:rRNA from 1 species
UACGUAGGGGGCAAGCGUUGUCCGGAUUUAUUGGGCGUAAAGAGCGUGUAGGCGGCUUGGUAGGUCUGCUGUGAAAACUCGGGGCUCAACCCCGAGACGUCGGUGGAAACCACCUGGCUAGAGUCCGGAAGAGGAGAGUGGAAUUCCUGGUGUAGCGGUGAAAGGCGCAGAUAUCAGGAAGAACACCAGCGGCGAAGGCGCCACUCUGGGCCGGUACUGACGCUGAGGAGCGAAAGCGUGGGUAGCAAACAGG